GACGAACGCUGGCGGCGUGCUUAAAACAUGCAAGUCGAACGGUGAAGCACCUUCCUUUUGGUGGGUGUGGAUGAGUGGCGAACGGGUGAGUAACACGUGAGUAACCUGCCCCCUUCUUCUGGAUAACCGCAUGAAAGUGUGGCUAAUACGGGAUAUUCUGUGCCUGCUGCAUGGUGGGGGUGGGAAAGUUGCGCGUUUGGGUGUUUUUGGUUGGGGAUGGGGUCGCGGGCUUUCUGCUUGUUGGUGGGGUGAUGGCCUACCAAGGCGGUGACGGGUAGCCGGCCUGAGGGGGUGGCCGGUCACACUGGGACCGAGCCACGGGCCAGAGUCCUACGGGCGGCAGCAGUGGGGAAUAUUGCAGAAUGGGCGCAAGCCUGAUGCAGCGACGCCGCGUGAGGGAUGGAGGCCUUCGGGAUGUAAGCCUCUUUCGCCAGUGAAGCAGGCCUGUCCCUUGUGGGUGGGUUGACGGUAGCUGGAUAAGAAGCGCCGGCUAACUACGUG
rnacentral:rRNA from 1 species